AUGUAGUUAAUAAAUUUUUGAUAACUUAUAGAAAUACUAUAUGUAUCAUAUGUAUUCCAUGUUUUAACAGUAUUUCCUAACCUAAAAAUUUAUUGCAAUUAUUAAUUAGAGCUAGGAUAAUUCAAUGAGAAACCUGAUAUGUCCCUGUUAAAAGAAAACUGAUAAAAUAUUGAGAAUUUAUCUACUUAUGUUGAGAUUGCAUGAUACAAAGAUGUCGACUAUUGCAAUAAAACGUGACUUGCUGUUCAAAACAUUGGAUAAAACAUAAUGUAAGUUACACUAUUUUUUAUUGAUUAAAUUCCAAAUUGUAAUAUCAAUAAGGUUUGAUUUUUGUAAGGAAUAAAAUUUGCUAAGACAGGAUUUGAUAUAUAAAUUAAUCAAAUAUAUUUAUAUCUUAACACUUAAGGACUUGCACAAAACUAUCUAUCGACUAAAAAAGAUUUAUGCUUAUUUUAUAUAUUAGACAAACAUUGAGUGUUAAUGAAGCGAAUAAAGAAGGAGUGUGUUUGUUUGAAGGUACAUAACAUGGCAAGUUAUUGCCAUAGAAGUAAAAAGUCAUUGUACGAAAUAUUCGCUACUGAGUCACUUUGAUUCAAUAAUAAUCUUUAAGUGUUGAAAGUUUAUUUAUACAUCGUGAAUAUAUAAAUUAUGUGUAUACAUGUAUUAUAUAUGAUUGUACUUUUACACUUUUCUUUUUUCUAAUUUUUAAGUUUUAUUCUAGCCGAUAAGGAAUUUGAAGCAUUAUGUUUUAAGUUUGGUUUAGAGCUCGAUGAAGUAGUAAGUAUGUGAUCUUUUAACUAAUAAUCCGUUUUGUAUAAUAAUUAUUUGUUUUUCUUAAAUAGACAAUGGAAAAGAAUAGGGUUUUGACCAAGGUAUAAAUACAUCUGAAGAAAUUAUCUACAAGAUUGAUAUACCUGCUAACAGAUAUGAUCUAUUAUGCUUGGAGACCCUCAGUACUGGACUAUUUAUAUUUUUGAAUAAAACAUACUGAAAAAGAACUGUAAUUGGUAAUAAAAAGCAAAACACAUAAUGCAAAUUACACAAGAACUGCAUACAGUGGCGCCGACUUGGAAACCUUUUUUUGGGGGAGGGGGGGCAAGAGGAAAAUUUCAAACGACCUUUUUUUUUAGGCUAGAGAGAUAAAAGUUAAAAACAUUUUCACAUAUUACAUUAUAUUAUUUCUUAUCGAAAGUUGGAAAGUUCCCUAGCAUUUUACAAACAGCUCGCAAGAAUGAUGCCACAGGUUCUAAAAUAGCUUCAAAUAUAAGUAUGCUUCAUAUAUAAGUAUGCGAGCUUUAAUAUCUUAUAUACUUACAUAUAUUUUUAUUUACAUUGCACAAAAUCGAGAAAGUUUAUUUCAAAUAUUUGAGAAAUGAAGCUUAUUUUCCUUAUUUUUAGUUAGUAGUCUGAUACAGGCUUAAGCUGUGCGCGUGGUUUCUUAAAAAAAAACUUUCAAAAAGAUAAAAAUUAUUGGGGGGGCGUCGCCCCUCUAAUAAUUUUAUUGGAGGGGCCAAAAGUGCUCUGCUCCCGCCUAAGUCGGCGCCAGUGACUGCAUAUAUACAGGAUGUUUGGCAAGACUCUUUAAAUUUCACUUUUUAAAUGUUCUUCCACCUAUGGCUGAAUAUCUUUUACAUAUAUACAUAUAGUCUUUUUUUCUAAACAGGAUGUUUAUCCCACAUUACAUGGCAAUAAAACCAAAUACAGGAAUGAAAAAAAUUAUAAUGACUUCAGAAGUAUGUUGUUUAAAAAUAAGAGGACAUUCAGUUGUUGCUUUUGAGAGAUGUUACUUUGACGCAAGGUUCUUACAAUAGGUUUAUUGAUCUUCAACAUAAGUUGCAUCAAAAUAUAGGAAGAAAACGUAGUCUGAUCUGUAUUGGCACUCACGAUUUGGAUACAAUUAAAGGUCUAUUUCUAUAUGAUGCUAGACAUCAUCAAAAAUACGGUUCAAAUUACUUAAUCAAGAUAAAAUGUAUACAGGAAAAGAAAUUAAGCAGUUAUAUGCAACACAUGCGCACAUAAACAGUAUUUAUUUAUCAUAAAAGACAGUCCUGUUUAUCUUAGUAUGAUGAUAAUGGAGUUGUUUUAUCUCUGUCUCCUAUCAUUAAUGGAGGUCAUUCAAAGAUCACACUUAAUUCAAAAAAUAUUUUUAUUGAGUGCACAGCAAAUGAUCUUACAAAGAAUUAAAAUAUCGAACGGAAGAAAUCAGUUGCAAUACAGCGAUUAAUUACAUUGGCAUUGAGUACGCAAUCGCACCUUUUCCAUCAUGCAUGUAGAAUGAUUACGAAAUGACAGUUGCUACUACCAACUAACAAGGGAUCAAGAAAUCUCAAUCGCAGUACUUACAGUUGCAAAGUGACAACAUUUAAAAGCUAGAUUAAGCGAACAAGAAAAUCACAUAGGGUGAGAAGUCGCUUUCUUCAUCUGACGAUAUCUCUUAAUAACAUAGUCGAUUAGCUUGUUUAAUCACUGAUUUUAACAAGCAUGAAUUACUACGUGGUUCGUUACCACAAAUCACUUGAAAGAGGAGAAAGAAAAAUAGAAUACUCGGUAUUAUAGGCCAUAUUAGUCUUGUUCUUCAUUGUUUUAAUUGAAAAGAAUGUGACGAUUUUGUGCUGAAAAAAAAUUACGUUAACAAUCUUAUGUAAUUUAAUAAAAUAAUAAAAAAGAAAUUAAACAAAAAA